UACGUAGGGUGCGAGCGUUAAUCGGAAUUACUGGGCGUAAAGCGGGCGCAGGCGGCUUUGUAAGUCCGGUGUGAAAUCCCCGGGCUCAACCUGGGAAUGGCAUUUGGGACUGCAAGGCUGGAGUGCGGCAGAGGAGACUGGAAUUCCUGGUGUAGCAGUGAAAUGCGUAGAUAUCAGGAGGAAUACCGAUGGCGAAGGCAGGUCUCUGGGCUGACACUGACGCUCAUGCACGAAAGCGUGGGGAGCAAACAGG
rnacentral:rRNA from 1 species